rnacentral:rRNA from 1 species
GAUGAACGCUGGCGGCAUGCCUAACACAUGCAAGUCGAACGGACCUUUAUUUUUGAGAGCUCCUUUAUAGAAAUUCUCAAAAAUACUGGUUAGUGGCGGACGGGUGAGUAACACGUUGGUACCUACCCCUUAGUGGGGAAUAACUUCGAGAAAUCGAGGCUAAUACCGCAUAAUAUCUACGGAUUAAAGCAUUUAUGCGCUAAGGGAGGGGCCUGCGUCUGAUUAGCUAGUUGGUGAGGUAAAAGCUCACCAAGGCGACGAUCAGUAGCUGGAUCGAGAGGUUGACCAGCCACACUGGGACUGAGAUACGGCCCAGACUCCUACGGGAGGCAGCAGUGAGGAAUCUUCCACAAUGGACGAAAGUCUGAUGGAGCAAUGCCGCGUGCAGGAUGACGGCCUUCGGGUUGUAAACUGCUUUUAUAUGGGAAGAUUAUGACGGUACCAUAUGAAUAAGGACCGGCUAACUACGUGCCAGCAGCCGCCGUAAAAC